AGUCGUAACAAGGUUUCCGUAGGUGAACCUGCGGAAGGAUCAUUAUUGAAUCCAAAGGAUGUUGCUGGCAUCGCAAGGUGCAUGUGCACUCCGCCUUUUCAAACCCCUGUGCACUUAUUGUAGGCUCGAAAGAGUCUAUGUUUAUUACACACUUUGAAGUCUUAUGAAUGUGAUUAGACCUUUUUGGUCAAGUUGUAAUACAACUUUCAACAACGGAUCUCUUGGUUCUCGCAUCGAUGAAGAACGCAGCGAAUUGCGAUAUGUAAUGUGAAUUGCAGAAUUCAGUGAAUCAUCGAAUCUUUGAACGCACCUUGCGCCCUUUGGUAUUCCGAAGGGCAUGCCUGUUUGAGUGUCAUUAAAUUCUCAACUUCAAAAAUUUUGAAGCUUGGAUGUUGGAGGUCAUUGCAGGCUUUUGAAGUCGGCUCCUCUUAAAUGCAUUAGCAGAACUGCACAGUUCGGCUCUGGUUUGAUAAUCCUAUCUAUGCCAUUGCUGAGAAGUUAAGGUUCAGCUUCUAAUGGUCCUUUUGGACUGUCUCUAUGAGGCAUUAUAUUGACUUGACCUCAAAUCAGGUAGGAUUA
rnacentral:rRNA from 1 species